rnacentral:rRNA from 1 species
UGGGGAAUUUUGGACAAUGGGCGAAAGCCUGAUCCAGCAAUGCCGCGUGUGUGAAGAAGGCCUUCGGGUUGUAAAGCACUUUUGUCCUGAAAGAAAUGGCUCUGGUUAAUACCUGGGGUCGAUGACGGUACCGGAAGAAUAAGGACCGGCUAACUACGUGCCAGCAGCCGCGGUAAUACGUAGGGUCCAAGCGUUAAUCGGAAUUACUGGGCGUAAAGCGUGCGCAGGCGGUUGUGCAAGACCGAUGUGAAAUCCCCGAGCUUAACUUGGGAAUUGCAUUGGUGACUGCACGGCUAGAGUGUGUCAGAGGGGGGUAGAAUUCCACGUGUAGCAGGGAAAUGCGUAGAGAUGUGGAGGAAUACCGAUGGCGAAGGCAGCACCCUGGGAUAACACUGACGCUCAUGCACGAAAGCGUGGGGAGCAAACAGG